AUUGAACGCUGGCGGCAGGCCUAACACAUGCAAGUCGCACGCGUGGCGGACGGGUGAGUAAUGUCUGGGAAACUGCCCGAUGGAGGGGGAUAACUACUGUAAACGGUAGCUCAUACCGCAUACCAUCGGAUGUGCCCCGAUGGGCUUAGCUAGUAGGUUGGGUAACGGCUCACCUAGGCGACAACCCCUAGCUGGGCUGAGAGUCUGACCAGAAUCACGGGAACUGUGACACGGUCCAGAGGCCUACGCGGGGAAGCAGUGGGGAAGAGUGGACAAGGGGGGCGAGGCUGAUGCAGCCAGGACGCGUGGAUGAAAGAGGCCAGCGGGUUGUAGAGUACUGGCGGCGAGGAGGCGUGUCCCGCAGAGGAAGAAGCGGCUAACUCCGUGCCAGCAGCCGCGGUAAUAC
rnacentral:rRNA from 1 species